UACAGAGGGGGCAAGCGUUAUUCGGAAUUAUUGGGCGUAAAGGGCGCGUAGGCGGCUUGGCAAGUGGAAGGUGAAAUCCCUCGGCUUAACCGAGGAACUGCCCUCCAAACUGCUUGGCUUGAGACCGGGAGAGGUGAGUGGAAUUCCCAGUGUAGCGGUGAAAUGCGUAGAUAUUGGGAGGAACACCGGUGGCGAAGGCGGUUCUCUGGGCCUUACCUGACGCUGAGGAGCGAAAGCGUGGGGAGCGAACAGG
rnacentral:rRNA from 1 species